AUACGGAGGGUGCAAGCGUUGUUCGGAAUUACUGGGCGUAAAGCGCGCGUAGGCGGUCUGUUAUGUCAGAUGUGAAAGUCCUCGGCUCAACCGGGGAAGUGCAUUUGAAACUGGCAGACUUGAGUACUGGAGGGGGUGGUGGAAUUCCCGGUGUAGAGGUGAAAUUCGUAGAUAUCGGGAGGAAUACCGGUGGCGAAGGCGACCACCUGGCCAGAUACUGACGCUGAGGCGCGAAAGCGUGGGGAGCAAACAGGAUUAGAAACCCCAGUAGUCC
rnacentral:rRNA from 1 species